GUCCCUGAGCAACGAGGCUCUGCGCUGGACACACGCCCUACGGGAGAAUUACUUCGGAAACGACAGUGGCGCUACUGCGGGAAUUUGUUGAACUCGAAGAAAUUGAAUUCUCUGUCUAAGUGGUUCCCGUGCGCCAUGGACGUGAACGCUCGUGUAUCAACUGCUGGAGAGCAAUUUAAUAAAACUUCGUAAUAAAAAUGAGAUAAAAAGCGAACGACUCGAGACAAGCGUAGAAGUUGUGAAUCAGCCGGAUCGGACCCAGAGCGACAUUAAAUGUCCAUCCACUGGGAUACAAUGAAGGAAGCUAAAUUGAUCAGAAGAAAGUUUUCACGGUCUUUCAAGAGAAACCUACUGCAUCCCUGAAAGCAUCCUCGUUGGUUUUACUACGUUGUUGAAAUCCUAACCUCAUAGAAAUGAACCAAAGACACGUGCAGUUUUCUGGCUUCAGGGAAGAAGAAAUGGAAAUACAACGAAAAGGCAAAAAGACUGUCGGCUUCCCGCUUCCUGAAUUAUUCAAGUCUGGUUGAAUUCCUCCAGCCUGCAUUUGGAUUCUGGAAAUGCGUUGUUAUCUCAGUUUGGAUGCUUCCGGUUAACAAGAGGAAGGUUAUGAAUUUUCUUUACUAUAUCCGUUAUCACCGAACAUGCUUAUAUGUUUCAGUACAAUUAUAGCGGUUUUUAUUUUUUUUAGUACUACCCAAAAAUCAAUAUCUAACUUUUGAUUUAUUUUUUAUUGAGAUCUACGCUUGGAAUAUAUAUAUAUAGGUAAAUACUUGUUUUAUUAAUAUUUUUUUCAUUUGUUAUGUACAUCUGUGGGACAAUGUUGAGUGAUGACGUCGCAAGUGCACGUUAACGCCAUAUAUUAUAACAAGACUAGAAUGACGUUGCACCUUGUUAGUGCAUCGAUGCACUGUGACGAUAACAGUGUAUUAUUUGGUAAUUCCUCUAUGAUGCUGCGGGCGUGGAUCAUGGUGGAAGAUGAAUGACAUUGUUUCAUAGAACUAGGCCUGGUUCCCACUCCAGAUAGUCACUUGCAAUGCAUCGUUGAAGUCCUGGUCUAGUGGCAAAUCUCUCAUGAUGCUGAUGACGAUGAUCCUCGAGUUUAAUGGAAAAUAAUUAUAUGGAUACUUCAAUAUUUCCGUCAUAUAUAACCAGUAGCAAGUACAGGCUACGCGCACAGGACACGGGAAAGGAGUAAAAAUGUUAAAAGUUUGACAUUUUGAGUAGAUAAAAAGUGUAAUUAAAAAUGUAUAGCUUGUCAACGUUAGCAUUGAAUAACUUUCUUUUUUGGAAAAAUAUUGUGUAAAUAUAUUGGUUCUGAAAUUUUUUCCGAAAGUGUAACGAACGAUGUUAAACGGAUGAUAAAAAG